GCAAACUUGGUCAUUUAGAGGAAGUACAAGUCGUAACAAGGUUUCCGUAGGUGAACCUGCGGAAGGAUCAUUAGCAAAUCCAUUGGAGUGUGCGUAUAGUAUAGUAUAUAUCGAUAUAUUCGAUAUAUUCGAUAUAUUCGAUAUAUUCGAUAUAUUCGAUAUAUUCGAUAUAUUCGAUAUAUUCGAUAUAUUCGAUAUAUUCGAUAUAUUCGAUAUAUUCGAUAUAUUUGUACACUUCAAAAUAUGUGCUCUAGCAGAAUGCUAGACAUGUUAUAUAUACUGUAUGUAUUGUAAUGUGUGAUAAUGUUUGUAAUACAACAAAAAAUACUUUUAACAAUGGAUCUCUUGGCUCUUGCAUCGAUGAAGAACGCAGC
rnacentral:misc_RNA from 1 species